AAACUCCCCCCCCCCUCCUUUUUUAGAAUUUUCUGGUUGCUCCUUGUCCUCUCCACCCGAGUGGUCUGACUCAAGCUUCAGUUCAAGUGCAAGUACAUCAACUACACUCCUGGAUGAGGGCCCUCGGAAGAAACCAAGAGUUGAGGGUACAAUUGAUGCGGUAUCUGCUAAAAAGUUGAUUGAAGCUGUACUUGGAACCAGCUCAGGUGGUGAGGAGGUCCUCCAAGAGUAUCACACAACACAAACUAAAACAAAUGCUACCAGAAGAAAAUUGGUCAAUAUAAUAGUGGCACACAUGAUUGAUAAACACGGACAACUCCCCUCCAAAGCUGUUCGAGAAGAGUACGCUCUUGGGAUAGUGACAGUGUUCCCGUCCCUCAAAGACCCAUACUCCAAGAAAGGCUAUGAAUAGUCAUUAUUAUUGUUUUGGGUUGUUGGGUU